CACAUUUGUGGCACAGUAUGACGAGGUGUGAGAGCAUUUUUUACUUGGUUCAUCUGGCAUUUCAAAUUGCACACCGAGAAGAAAGCUUCCUCGGAUUUCACUGACAUAUCCAAACUAAGGAACUUAAAUGUGCCAAAUGGAUCGCACAGGAUAACCAACUAUGCAACAGUGAUGGAAAAAGAUCUUCCAGUGGGAGGGGUGUCAUUCACCUCACCUUUAACCUCGUGGCUGUGUAUAGAUCCAGCACCUACCAGCUUUCAGCAGAGGAUUAAACAGCUAAUGACAGAGAAGUGCUGUGAUUGACAAGUUAAGGUUUCCUUCCUCGUCAGAAGGGCCUUUGUGUUUGUCUCUUGCCCAUUUCUUCCCAGAACUCACAUUUCACAUUCCACCGUGACUUGAACAAUUUCUAAAUUUCUUCAUUGUGAAAUAGCUACAAGUGAAUCUGAAGCUACUCUAUUCACACCUUAAAAAAAGCCUUUACAUUGAAUUAUGAAUAAGUCUUAUUUAAAGUCAUCACACUGCUGUUUGUCUGCUUUGAACCAGGUUUUCUCACAUUGCAUGUCCACUGUUCAUCAGUGCAGCAAACAUCUACAGUCUACUGCAGUCAUCGUCUCAGAUGAGGGAAUUUUCAGCCCCAGUGAAACAUGUGGGAGUCCCUUUCGGCACUGCUGCACUGACACGUGAAAGUCUAUGAAACAGCAAUCAAGACAUCGGUAGCACAGAGGCCAGAGCCAAGUGAACCCAGUCCCAGAGAUCGGGACCCAGAGAUGGCCCGUGAAAUGAGUUGGAGUUGGAAAACCACCGGAGGGAUAUGCCACGCUCUACUGCCAAUUUCACUAUCAUAAUCAGCCUCAGCUUAUAGAGUGAUAUUAUAAGCCUGGCUAUUUUCGCUGACACUUUUGCUCCUUUUUUCUUUUUUUGGCGCAGAUGAUAAGGAAGAUGAUACGAUUUAUGCAGCGACUGAACUGUAGAUUCUGCAAUAAAAAAAAAUAAAGAAUGAAGCUGUUGAUUCGAACUCACAAAUAUCUGCUACGAGCUUGAUGCCUGGGUAAUGAGUGAUGGUGAAGAACUUCAUUACAUAAGCAUAUGUGUCUCAAGUAAAAGACUUGACAAAAUAAGUUGUCAUCAAACCAUCAGCAGAGUCCUUCUAAAGUUUGAAAGGGCGCCCAUUAACCAAGGCCAAAUUGAAUCCAGAUGUUGUCAAGAAGGUUAUCGCUCUAAAAUAAAUGUUGUCUCAGCAUGUUGAUAUGCUUCUUAUACUCCUAUAAAAUAUAAUUAUGCAACCACAACAAAGCCACUCAAGUUAAUGAACCAACAGAAGUCUUGGUCUUCCUGUGGAUCUUUUUAAUCGAUGUGGUUGCUUUGCUAAAACCUCCACGUUUUCUGUCUCACUGGCCAUAUGUCAAAAAGGGAAUCGAAAGCUUCAAAGAAGGUGACAGGGUUUUAGAUUUCUGCAACAGUCUCUUUUUUUAAGUGGGGCUUAUUAUAAACCAAAUCUGCACUUAAAUGAAUAAAUCAUAGCAGGUAAAGUACAGCUUAUGAUUUCUCACUUUGUUUUUAUUGCUGUAGGAUGAACUGUAGGAUGAACUGAUUUCUCAGAAUUACCCGAAGCCAUGCGGCUGACAUAUCAGAAAAACCCAAAACAUCAUCAUGCAGUCCCUUUUAUCUCAGGAUCUGAUUUAUGUACACCACUACAGUAGCUAGUCACAUGACACGUGGACUAGUGGCCUGAUUUUUUUACUAUACCCAAAAAGGAAAUGGUGAACUUACGGAAAUAAUGAGAUUCUUGAAUCCACAUCAGAAUAAAGCACCCAUUAACCUAAGGAGACAUAGUAAGUAGUAACUAAUUAGAUUUUGGUUGGUGCUAAUUGCGUCUUCUAUUGGGCAGAAGGAGAUUUAUGGACAUUAAGGAGGUCAACCUGAUGAGUUUUGUUCUGAUUUAACAGCGACUCAUUAUUAACUUGUUCCCAAGUUAUUUAUCAUGAUUUAUUAUUUACUAGAGAUCUUUCUCCAACAUUUGGUUUGUUAAUUCUUUAAUUCCUGAGGAUUUUGCUUAGUUUGUAUGAAUACUUUGUCUUUGUUCUAGAUGCAAAAAGCAAAUAGGCAUACGCCAUCGACAACUUUGAUUUCAUUGAACUGACCUUUCAAAAUGUAGGUCACUAUGUUUAUACCCUGUUCAGAGACCACUAUGAGCAAUUCUGUGAUGGUGUUAUUUUUGUGACUGUUAUUGAGUUUCUUUAUAUGUAUUUAAUUUUCAUAUGCAACAUGUUUCAAAACACAUCUGGAUGUAUUUACAUGAAUGCAUACCUGUUUGUAGAAUGUUUAUUUUUAUCAGUUGUACUUUUAAUUGUAUGCUUUGUUUAUGGGGAAGUUUUGCUGUUUAAAGAAAUUUCAGAUUUUAGAUAAUAUACUGCACCCUUUCUUCCCUCUUUAUUAACCAAUUUGGUACCAUUGGAGGUACUGUGAAGAACCAGUUAUAUAUUUAUAUACUGGACUGCAUAUAUAUACUGGAUUGCAACCUAAGUACCAACCCCAUGAUUCUUUAGCCUGUAGCAUCUUUAGCUAUGAUAACUUUAAGUAAUAAUUUUUUGUAUGACUUUACAUGUCCCAUUUCUUUGUGGAAGAUUUUAGUCCAUUCUGCUACACAGCGUUACUUUGGUUCAUUGAAUUUUGCAAUCAUUCAUUUAUACAGAGCUUUUUAAAGGUCCCCCCACAGCAUUUCAGUUUGGUUAGGGUCUGAGCUUUGUUUCAUUGCAACACCUUGAUACUUUUUUAUUCUGUUUUAGAUCUGGUUGUUGUUGCACAAAACAAUUUCAGCUAAACUUUAGCCGUCGGACAGAUGGCCUGACAUCUGACUAUAGAAUACUUUGGUAUACAGAGAAGUUUAUGGUCAACUCACUGCAAUGUGGCUGCAAAAUGAACCACAAUCAACACCAAUCCACCUCUGUGUUGCUGUGAGGUGUUUUUUUUAUCUGAUAUGCUGGAUUUGUUUUUUAUCAAACGGGGCACUGUGAAUUACCUCCAAACAUCUCAGCUGUGGUCUCUUCUGUCUAAAGGACAUUGUUCCAGAUGUGUUGUAGUUUGUUCAGAUUUAGCGUUGCAGACCGCAAUGCUGCCAUGUUUAUUUUUAAGCAAAGAGGUUUUCUCCUGGCAAUCCUUAAAAACAAUCCAUACCCAUUUAGUCUUUUUUUCUAACUUCCUAACUUUGACCUUUAACAUGCUAACUGAGGCCUGUGGAGUCUGAGAUGUAGGCCUUGGAUGUUUUGCAAUUUCUUUGAGCAUUGCAUGGCCUGAACUUAGGGUGCAUUUGAUGUGAUGUUCACUCCCAGGAAGACUGUGCUAAUACACUCCUGAAUACUCCUGACCAACAAAGUGCCAAAACAUUUGCUUUUAUAGAGGCGCUCACACUAUACUGAUGAUCAUUUAAUCCUGUGUUUUCAAUUAGCAGCAUCUGGCUGCUACAUACUCUUUUAAUUCCUGUGGAAGUAGUAAGUGUGUACUUAGUUUUUUUUUACAAGAAUUGCAUAGAACCCUGUGAAAACUUUAUUUUUCACAUCACUAAAAUUCUCCCAGACACUUUUUUGAAGUGUUUUUUUUUCUAAAGCUUCACUGUGAAGAACCACUUUCAGUUCCAGUUUGCACAUUUGUUAUGUAUACAAAAUGUCAGUCAGUUUGGCAGUGGUACUAGGUUCCAGAUUUGAGUUUGGAGUUUUGGUGUUAGGUUGACACAUUUGGAAGUUGUUUCUUUAGUAGCAUUAUUCCAAAAUUUCUCUCACUAUGACAGUAUCUGCUGCACCAUACACAGAUCUUUUUUUUCCCCAACUUCAGUGCACUUCAUUUAUGAAAACUUUUAGGCUUUUAGAAAGAUGAAAACAUCCCGUAACAUUUUACUGCAAAUAAUAUUGUCACAGUACUUUAUAAUAAAAGUAAAUCUCUAAAAUCUUCUAAAGGUUAGUCAGUUCUGAAAUUCCUAACACAGAAAAGGGUUUUAAGUGAACAGCAUUAUGCAUUUAGAAAGAAUAUCUAUGCUAGAUCACCACUUGUCUGUUAUAUUGAAUACUACAGUAGGAGACCUUUGAAAAAUCUGCAUAUACAUAAAUAAGCUGUGUUCUUUAAUACGUCUCUGUGUUAAGAAUGUCCUUUCGUAAUAUAAAUCUUCAACAUAUUGCAUAGAUCUCUCAGCCACAGCCAGUGGUCUUCAUUCACUUUCAAACACAUCUGCCUUUGGUAUGAAUAUGGCUGUCAGUCCCAUGAAGACCAUCACAAUAGAACACACUCAUUAUUGUUGUAUUGCAUUGUGCUUCAGCAGCAAGCGAAUACCACCCUUGACUAAUUUUCUGUUUGUAUCAAGAAACAAAAGCUCUUCGAAUCUCCCCAUGGGCUCUGGAGUGGCUUUACUGCACAUCAAACUAUGCUAAUUACCUUUUGCAUGAUUAAUUGGACCAAUUAGAAUUAGUAGAGGAAGAAGAUGAUUCUUGGCAAGGUGCGAAACAUUAAUUAGUCAUAAAAAACGUUUAUUAGUGUUCAAAUUUAAUCUAGCAGAACACAAUGGGAUUAGGAGAAAAAGACAGUUAAUAAGUAGCGUGUUCAAUCACUCUUAGCUGCAGAUGAAAUAAUGAAUGUCACUGCUUACGCUGUGCUCGCUCAAACAUGCACACACAGACAACCUCCGUCUCUUACCAAAGCUAUUGUACUGUUGGAAAACACCCAUCUUCAUCCGUCAUACAAAGUGGCAGUUGUAACACAAACAUUCCCACUCUGAUUGAUGAGUCAAGACCAUACAAGCGACUUAUACACAGUAAUCCUGUAUAAGAUUUAUGGCCUGAAGAUGAUGCAUUAGAAAAAAAAGAAAAAAGAAAAGAAAUUUGCAAUAAAAGAAUCAACAACAGCACCAACAGUUGCAGCACCAGCAACUAAUGGCGAUUUAGCUGUGGCAGCAUUUAUAAUGGUAUAUGGCAUAUGUAAUAACAGCAUUGCGUGACAGUACUUCACAUGCUAUGUAAACCAUGGGAAAUGACAGCUGCAGGGCAGUUGUUUAUGCUGAUGAGAAAACAAGCAGGUACGUUAUGGGCAGUGAGGAGUGUGUGGGUGUUUCCUCACAUUUUGCACACUGAUGCAAUAAAAUAACACAGAGUGGCUUCACAUCGAGCAACACCUUGGCCUGUAAAAAAAUCUGCAGGCACGCAUGUAUAAAUAGUUGUUCAGGGCUGAUCACAGCACCAUAUCACUCUGUUGCAGAUCAAGGUUUGCGACUAUAUUUUCGAUGUAGCUCAAAAAAUGC